rnacentral:rRNA from 1 species
UACGAAGGGGGCUAGCGUUGCUCGGAAUUACUUGGGCGGUAAAGCGCACGUAGGCGGAUUGUUAAGUCGGGGUGAAAUCCCGGGGCUCAACCUCGGAACUGCCUUUGAUACUGCAAAUCUCGAGUCCGGAAGAGGUGAGUGGAAUUCCUAGUGUAGAGGUGAAAUUCGUAGAUAUUAGGAAGAACACCAGUGGCGAAGGCGGCUCACUGGUCCGGUAACUGACGCUGAGGUGCGAAAGCGUGGGAGCAAACAGGAUUAGAUACCGUAG